GUCCUGGGUUGAGGGCUGGUAUGGAAAGACUCCAGUUCAGACUUUGUCUUCACAAUCAAAAAAACCAGUUUUGCUGCAGAAAGGCUGUCAGGACAACAGUCUAGGCUGGUUUUCUAAGUCAAGAAAGGUACUGAUCCUGAAAAGAAAGGCCAAAAAAUCUAGGACUCUAAUGACCACCUGCCAUACCUGAGGGAUCUGCUGCUGUCAAGGAAGCGGUGUGGCAAGUCUGACUUCUCCACAUCCUAAUAGGUUCAGAGCGAACAUAUUUUCUGAGGACUUAACCAGAAUAUGGCAAUGAUCAUUUCAGUAUGUGCAAAUUAAAUAUAAUCCAAAACUGUGUAAUUUUGCUAGAACAGGCGGAAUUUCUGUGUAGGUUAGGACAAAUCACUUUCCCAUAUUUCAUGUUUAUUUCCUGUUCUUCAAGGCUGAAGUUGAUCUCUUGUUUCUUUGUUUCUUUAUUUUUCUCCCAUGAAUUAAAAACACUGAAGCAAGAAAUUACCUCUCUGGGAAAAAAUAUAACUUCAGAAAAGUUAUGUUCUGAUGAAGGUAUCAUUUUUUUUGUUGGAGAAUGCAGUACAUUUAACUGCCAAUAUUCUGUGUCAUUAUUAACCAUGUUCUAUGGUGUAUAUAUGCUAGAAAUCUGCUGAAGAGAAACCCUUUCUUCUUUGGGCAUGAGGCAGGCCUGGAUGGACAUCUGUGUCAGAGGUUCAUCAUA